rnacentral:lncRNA from 1 species
CAGCGGAAGACUUAACCAAAAAUCCAAUAAUACGAUUCCAUUAAACCAACAAGUUCAACCAAACAUUAUUCCAAAACAUGAUCCUCCUAACAUGUUUCUAAAUUCCAUUCUAACACCCUAACAAAUCCAACAAUAAUCUAAAACACCAAUGAGUGCCUAGAUCAUCCUCCUCUCCUCGCCAUGAUUCCACGGAUCACACUUUGCUUUUACCUGCAUCAAAGAAAGAGAUGCAUAAGUAUUUCAUAAAUACUUAGUGAGGGCGAUCCUCCCAUCUACGAGCUAUACACACAAGCAAUGAGAUAACACCCACAUAUAUAACAAAAACAAACCAUCCAGCAAGCUAAACAUCCAAUAACACAUCCAGUUCACCUACAAAUCAUCACACAACAAGUCACUCAAUCCCAAUCGCUUAGAUAAGCUCAUGGUCACGCACUCACCUUAACAAGGUGAUUUGAGUUACAAAAACAACCAGGAAAUACUCUCUUCGUGACUGCAACAGCCAAACAACGCCCUACAACAAACCACACAAACACAAAUCUCUAAGAACCAAAAGGACAGAAACAUCAAAAAAACUACAGCCGCAGAAACGAAGCCCUAAAACAUAAACUAACCGUUAACUUCUUAAUCCCUACGGUGAAAAGCAAGAUACAGACGUCACGAAGCCCCCUACAAAAUUUGGUGCCGAUCGGAGAAACGAUGAAUCCACGAUCGCACUUACAAACUCCGCUGAUCCCAGUUCGCAACAGAGAAAACGCGUCUCACCAAACUGCAUAUAACUCACUGAGUAUUAAUCCAAAUUCACUUCUGUAAAAAGGAGAAUCAACGUACACGCCUUAAGAACAAACCUACCAAAAUUCAUUACCNNNNNNNNNNNNNNNNNNNNNNNNNNNNNNNNNNNNNNNNNNNNNNNNNNNNNNNNNNNNNNNNNNNNNNNNNNNNNNNNNNNNNNNNNNNNNNNNNNNNUUCGAUAAGAUUUGAUACGUCGUAACUCUAUUCUACCAGAACGUGACGGAUCUGCUUCUCUUGCCUUAAACACCAAAGCAAAGCUAACACUCUCCUUUUCACAAGUAAACUUCUCAUUUUCCUUUUCUCAACUCAACUCUCAGAAACAACAGCCACAAAACAAGAGAGAGAAGAAGCAUUCUUUAUAAAACUAGGGUUUUUGGUUUAAUUCUGAUUAAACCAGAAUUUACCUAAACCGACUUUAAUUAAACCUCUUUUGGUUCAAUUAAACAAAUCGACCAGUUUAGGAAAUCAACCGGAAUUAAACCGAUUCCACCCUAAUUCUUAUACACAUUCAAGUCUCAUAUUAAUUUUCAGAACACGGGCGUUACAAUUCUCCCCCACUAACAUGGAUUCGUCCUCGAAUCCUUCAACACCGUCCACCAGUUGGACUCCGUGCAACCGUCCCAAACGAUCUGCACUCCCACAACUGACUCCUCUGAGGCUCCUAUCUAAUCCAUAUACUCACGUUCCAGACCCUAUUUGCUCAUACUCACCCACUUCCCCCGUCCACAGGUCGCAACCCAUGAAUCAUACCGGCUCGUCCUCAGGCCUCUGCCUUAGACUACGGUAUCCAGGAAGUCUCACCACUCCCCCCGCUAUCAGGUCGCAACCCUCAAGUCAUACCGGCUCACUAUUAGGCCACCCGCCUUCUAGCUACGGUAUCCGGGAAGUCUCACGCUCGCUCUCGGGUCGUCACCCUCAAAUGUGCACUCGAAUCGUCAUCCGAAGCCAUCACAUCAUAUCCGAGCAAAUAAGUCUAAACGCCCCCGAGCAUAUCUCUCGAUUAGAUAUACCUCCCGUGGUCCACUUAUAGCAUCGCAAUGCUAUACUAACCACCACCCCGAGACUUUCCAAAAAUAGAACCGUCAAACCCGACACUUUCUAUUUUUAGAAACUCGCACAUAUUUCUCUUACACAUGACACAACAAGUCAAAUCAAGAAAUACUCACAUAGUCCAAGUACAACAUCACAAUGUCAUACCUACCAAACAAUAUUCCCACCUGGAAUAUCAUCUCUACCAUGACCAUUCUUCAAGUCAACUCCCAAACAAUCCCGUCACUCAGAGUAUUACAUAAUAGUCUCCAACUUAACUUCUCGGAAAUCCAUUUCCAACAAAACACCACCGAAGACCCGCGCUCCAGACUACAACCACCACAACCACAUAACUACUUCGAGCACCACGCUCGCAACCUCUAGCCUCCCACACUGCCACGAGCAGAAACUAGGAAAACAGAUGACUAGAGAAAAGAUAAAACAUCACAACUUACCGUGGAAUCUCAUUGAAGGCUCGAGAGGAUGAUCUAGGUCUCCAUGCUCACACAACUGAUUAAACACACAAAUCAAUCAGCAUGCAAUCCACAUCAUCAUUUUCCAUCAACGAAAUUCACACAUCACAUAAAAAAUAACCAAUUUACUCCCGCCCUAGAACCGUAAGGGCUCUGAUACCAAAUUGAAAGAACCCAUCCCAUUUUUUUUUCUUUUAAACAUGCAAACCGGAUUAACCCAAUUAAUUCGAACCAGCUAAACCGGCCAUAAUAAUUUAAAUCAAUUAAACCAAGCAAUCUCAUUAAAGUAAACCAACAAUAUUAUCCAGCGGAAGACUUAACCAAAAAUCCAAUAAUACGAUUCCAUUAAACCAACAAGUUCAACCAAACAUUAUUCCAAAACAUGAUCCUCCUAACAUGUUUCUAAAUUCCAUUCUAACACCCUAAUAAAUCCAACAAUAAUCUAAAACACCAAUGAGUGCCUAGAUCAUCCUCCUCUCCUCGCCAUGAUUCCACGGAUCACACUUUGCUUUUACCUGCAUCAAAGAAAGAGAUGCAUAAGUAUUUCAUAAAUACUUAGUGAGGGCGAUCCUACCAUCUACGAGCUAUACACACAAGCAAUGAGAUAACACCCACAUAUAUAACAAAAACAAACCAUCCAGCAAGCUAAACAUCCAAUAACACAUCCAGUUCACCUACAAAUCAUCACACAACAAGUCACUCAAUCCCAAUCGCUUAGAUAAGCUCAUGGUCACGCACUCACCUUAACAAGGUGAUUUGAGUUACAAAAACAACCAGGAAAUACUCUCUUCGUGACUGCAACAGCCAAACAACGCCCUACAACAAACCACACAAACACAAAUCUCUAAGAACCAAAAGGACAGAAACAUCAAAAAAACUACAGCCGCAGAAACGAAGCCCUAAAACAUAAACUAACCGUUAACUUCUUAAUCCCUACGGUGAAAAGCAAGAUACAGACGUCACGAAGCCCCCUACAAAAUUUGGUGCCGAUCGGAGAAACGAUGAAUCCACGAUCGCACUUACAAACUCCGCUGAUCCCAGUUCGCAACAGAGAAAACGCGUCUCACCAAACUGCAUAUAACUCACUGAGUAUUAAUCCAAAUUCACUUCUGUAAAAAGGAGAAUCAACGUACACGCCUUAAGAACAAACCUACCAAAAUUAAUUACCUUUCGAUAAGAUUUGAUACGUCGUAAAUCUAUUCUACCAGAACGUGACGGAUCUGCUUCUCUUGCCUUAAACACCAAAGCAAAGCUAACACUCUCCUUUUCACAAGUAAACUUCUCCUUUUCAUUUUCUCAACUCAACUCUCAGAAACAACAGCCACAAAACAAGAGAGAGAAGAAGCGUUCUUUAUAAAACUAGGGUUUUUGGUUUAAUUCUGAUUAAACCAGAAUUUACCUAAACCGACUUUAAU